AGAGUUUGAUCCUGGCUCAGGAUGAACGCUGGCGGCGUGCCUAAUACAUGCAAGUCGGACGCAAUGCUUCGGCAUUGAGUGGCGAACGGGUGAGUAAUACAUAAGCAACCUGCCCCUGUGAGGGGGAUAACUGCUGGAAACGGCAGCUAAGACCGCAUAGGCAUACAUGACGCAUGUCGAGUAUGUUAAAUAUCCCACGGGAUAGCACAGGGAUGGGCUUAUGACGCAUUAGCUAGCUGGUGAGGUAGAGGCUCACCAGGGCGACGAUGCGUAGCCGGCCUGAGAGGGUGGACGGCCACACUGGGACUGAGACACGGCCCAGACUCCUACGGGAGGCAGCAGUAGGGAAUUUUCGGCAAUGGGCGAAAGCCUGACCGAGCAACGCCGCGUGAAGGAAGAAGUCAUUCGUGAUGUAAACUUCUGUUAUAAAGGAAGAACGGCGCCUGUAGGGAAUGACAGGCGAGUGACGGUACUUUAUGAGGAAGCCACGGCUAACUACGUGCCAGCAGCCGCGGU
rnacentral:rRNA from 1 species